rnacentral:rRNA from 1 species
GACGAACCGUGCGAACGUUGUUCGGAAUCACUGGGCUUAAAGGGCGCGUAGGCGGCUUAUCAAGUCAGGGGUGAAAUCUUUCGGCUUAACCGGAAAAGUGCCUUUGAUACUGAUAGGCUCGAGGGAGGUAGGGGUAUGUGGAACUUCCGGUGGAGCGGUGAAAUGCGUUGAUAUCGGAAGGAACGCCGGUGGCGAAAGCGACGUACUGGACCUCUUCUGACGCUGAGGCGCGAAAGCUAGGGGAGCAAACGGG